GACGAACGCUGGCGGCGUGCCUAAUACAUGCAAGUUGAGCGAUGAAGCUUGGUGCUUGCACCAAUUUGAAGAGCAGCGAACGGGUGAGUAACGCGUGGGGAAUCUGCCUUUGAGCGGGGGACAACAUUUGGAAACGAAUGCUAAUACCGCAUAACAACUUUAAACAUAAGUUUUAAGUUUGAAAGAUGCAAUUGCAUCACUCAAAGAUGAUCCCGCGUUGUAUUAGCUAGGUGGUGAGGUAAAGGCUCACCAAGGCGAGGAUACAUAGCCGACCUGAGAGGGGGGUCGGCCACAUUGGGAAUGAGACACGGCCCAAACUCCUACGGGAGGCAGCAGUAGGGAAUCUUCGGCAAUGGACGAAAGUCUGACCGAGCAACGCCGCGUGAGUGAAGAAGGUUUUCGGAUCGUAAAACUCUGUUGGUAGGGAAGAACGUUGGUGAGAGUGGAAAGCUCAUCAAGUGACGGUAACUACCCAGAAAGGGACGGCUAACUACGUG
rnacentral:rRNA from 1 species